rnacentral:rRNA from 1 species
CAAUAGCGUAUAUUAAAGUUGUUGCAGUUAAAAAGCUCGUAAUUGGAUUUGUGGCGUACGGUGGGUUCCGGGCACUUGUUGUCUGAGUAACUUGCUGUUGCCAUCCUUGGGUGGAACCUGUGUGGCAUUAGGUUGUCGUGCAGGGGAUGCCCAUCAUUUACUGUGAAAAAAUUAGAGUGUUCAAAGCAGGCUUAUGCCGUUGAAUAUAUUAGCAUGGAAUAAUGAGAUAGGACUUUUUUGCUAUUUUGUUGGUUUGCGCAAAGAGGUAAUGAUUAAUAGGGACAGUUGGGGGUAUUCGUAUUCCAUUGUCAGAGGUGAAAUUCUUGGAUUUUUGGAAGACGAACUACUGCGAAAGCAUUUACCAAGGAUGUUUUCAUUAA